rnacentral:tRNA from 1 species
UUAAUUGAAACCAAAAUAGAGGUUUAUUACUGUUAAUAAUAAAAUUGAAAAAUACUUUCCAAUUAAA